AAGUCGUAACAAGGUAACCGUAGGUGAACCUGCGGUUGGAUCAUUAAUGAAUUAUGUCUUGACGUGAAGUCAAGGCGCCGGAUAACCCUCCCUCGCUUACACCUGUGAACUGUUUGUCUUUGGAAGGAGUAGCUAACUUCCACUGACUACCCAAAUUUAUAGUCUUUAGAAACUAGUCUUAAUUAAACAACGUAAUGUUGAUACAACUUUAGACAACGGAUCUCUUGGCUCUC
rnacentral:misc_RNA from 1 species